GUGUCAGCAGCCGCGGUAACACGUAGGCACCAAGCGUUGUCCGGAUUUAUUGGGCGUAAAGAGCUCGUAGGCGGUUCAGUAAGUCGGGUGUGAAAACUUUGGGCUUAACCCAAAGCGUGCAUCCGAUACUGCUGUGACUUGAGUUCGGUAGGGGAGUGGGGAAUUCCUAGUGUAGCGGUGAAAUGCGCAGAUAUUAGGAGGAACACCGGUGGCGAAGGCGCCACUCUGGGCCGAAACUGACGCUGAGGAGCGAAAGCAUGGGUAGCAAACAGGAUUAGAUACCCUGGUAGUCC
rnacentral:rRNA from 1 species